GGCGUCUUUCGCCACCUGGUGGACAAGAUGCUCAACUGCAAGAAUAUGAAUGAGUUCAUUGUUUGGUUUCCCUGGAUAAAUGAUUUAUUCUUAUAGUGACACAGAUAGCUAGAAAGAAACGUGCCACGUUCAAAGACCAUUGUUUGCUACACGGCUAUAGUCUGAGUUUUAGAAAAACUGAGGUCAUGAGGUCAAACACAAACCAGUGAAACCCUCCCAACACUAACUGUGGCUCUGGGGACAGCAUAGUUUAACUAACACGACAUGAAUUCUAAUGACUUAUGUGAUCCCUCGACUUGAGUAACCUCCUGCACCCACAUAAGUUUUUAAACUAAAGUAUUUCAACAAAGACUGACUGUGUGUUUCUCCUAGUGGAGAAGUUAAAAACCGGCCCCUGCUCGGUGAUGAAUGGCCACGAUCUGUUUGAAGGCCUGUUGGGGACAGUUUGGUUUUCUGGUCCGACUCCUGCAGCCGAGCAGACCGGGGUCCUCUCUGUUUAGUGUCUUUGCGGGAGUGGAGCCUGGCUUACUGCUGCUUUGUUCACUGACCUUAAAAGACACACUCGCUCCCCUCGCGCUAGACCCCAAGAGCUGGACUGAAGAAGAAGCACAAAGAACCGAGAUGGAAACUGUGAUCGGGUGAUUUGACACAGCAGAAAGAAGAAGAAAACAUCAUCUCAUCUUGGGAUGUGUCCACCAUGUCCCAGUUUAAAAGGUCACAGACCUUCUGUUCACGCACUCAAACGAUUAUUUAAGUUUUCCCAACAAUUUCUUG
ensembl:lncRNA